CUCUGCUGGAAUUUAAAUUAAAAGAAAUUAAGUUAAAUAAUCAAAUUAACAUGUCAAAUAUGGUCCAUCCUAAAUAAUCAAUUAGAAAUUUAAAGAAAAUCAAGAAUAGUAAAAAAAAAAAAAUUAAGUCCUCAGACUAUAUAAAGCUGAUGGAAGUGAACUGAGCCUUCAUUUCCCAUCACUAAGGGGAAAGAAAGAGGAUACUUUCCUCAAGCCACACAAAGACAGUCCAGAAGAAUCCCUUCUGGUAACUAGACUGUCUGCAGGAAGAAAAUACACCUCUCACUUCUAUGCUUUCUAAGCUACAGAAAUUCAGAUGUCCAUUAUAGAGAAAACAAUGGGGCAGAACACGUUAGAAAAAUCUCGGAAAAACCUUGCAUGCUUUCCCUAGGCUUGAGUGUGGAUGACAUGGUAGUGUAAGAGCAUAGAAAUUAACUCCUGCUUUUUAAAUUCAUGAGGUGGAUAACAGUUAUCCUGGAAGGCCAAAUGAGUUUAAAAGGUCACAGAAAAUACACUAAGUCACAGCAUUUGGGAGAACAAAGAUUCAUGAACUUUCUGUGGGACAGAAGUUAAUCCUACAGAAUUAGUCAUCUUGAUGAACUCUAGCCAAUACAACUUAACAGAAGGAAAUAAGCUGUUGGGGGUGGGGUGGGGAGGUAGACUCCUAGGGACUAGAACUGGGAGGGAGAUACAAACAUAAUCUAUCAGUCAGAGAGUACAAAUGGGGCAGCAUGAUGGAUUGUAAGGAGCCUCCAAAGAACCACCAUGUGCAACACAAUACGGAAUCAACAUUUGGGAGUCUGCUAUGCAGAUAGCCUUGUCAAAUUACAACAGUGCCAGUCAGUUAGGCCAAGUAGGACUUUUAUUUUAGUCUUUAUCUUUUCAUCAGCACUAAAGGAUUCAUCAGUAAUAGGAAGGAAAAGAAAACAAUACCCAUUUUCCUCUAGUACAGUUUCCCUCGCCAUAAGGUAAACCUAAUCUAAAGAAAAGAAGGUUGAGAGACUGAAAUUUAGGUCAGGGUUGGAUAUAUGAACAUUCUAAAAAUUCAUCCCAAUAGC